AUUGAAUCAUGCUAUAUGUCAACUUUAUAUUUUCAGUUUUAAAAAACAGCAUCCCCAAGGUCUAAGUCAAAUAUGAUAUACUGUAUCUAUAUAAAGUAUGCAGUCUGAUAAGCCAUCGUGCAUGGACACGUUUGUGAUAUCACCACAAUCAAUAUAGUGCAUGAACCCGUCACCCUUAAGGUGUCCUCUACCUCUUCCGCGAACACAUUUCCCUACACUCAUCCUGAUAUGCCUAGUGCUUAUUCCUGCUCUUAGGCCUUCAUGUACCCAGCUCUCUUCCCCUAAAGCUACCCAGCUCAUCCUUGAAGUCUAUCCAAAUCCUGCUCAUCUUUUUAAAACAAUUAUUUAUUUAUCCUAAUUUGCUAUAUUUGACAGCAUAAUGCAUUUCGAUUCAUAGUACACAAUUUUUCAUGUCUCUGGUUGUACACAAAAUAGGGUCAUACCAUUCAUGUCUUUAUAUAUGUCUAAGUUUAGGCUAAAGGCUACUUGCAAGUUAUCAUUUGAGAAUAAUUCACCCCAUAUUUUCUACUUUCUUCUCUGAUCUUAAUGUAUUUACACACACUCUCUCAUUAUCUUCAUCUUCUAGCCUUCUGCGGUGAGGUAGUCCAGUGGCUAUCAGCCUGGAUUCUUG
rnacentral:lncRNA from 1 species